rnacentral:rRNA from 2 species
GGGGAAUAUUGCGCAAUGGGGGAAACCCUGACGCAGCAAUACCGCGUGAGUGAAGAAGGUUUUCGGAUCGUAAAGCUCUGUUAUUGGGGAAGAAAAAAAGACGGUACCCAAGAAGAAAGUCCCGGCUAACUACGUGCCAGCAGCCGCGGUAAUACGUAGGGGGCAAGCGUUAUCCGGAUUUACUGGGUGUAAAGGGAGCGUAGACGGCACUGCAAGUCUGGAGUGAAAGCCCGGGGCUCAACCCCGGGACUGCUUUGGAAACUGUGGUGCUAGAGUGCAGGAGAGGUAAGUGGAAUUCCUAGUGUAGCGGUGAAAUGCGUAGAUAUUAGGAGGAACACCAGUGGCGAAGGCGGCUUACUGGACUGUAACUGACGUUGAGGCUCGAAAGCGUGGGGAGCAAACA